UAAGACAGAGGGUGCAAACGUUGUUCGGAAUUACUGGGCGUAAAGCGCGUGUAGGCUGCUCCGCAAGUCGGAUGUGAAAGCCCUGGGCUCAACCUAGGAAGUGCAUUCGAAACUUCGGAGCUGGAGUCCUGGAGAGGAAGGCGGAAUUCUCGGUGUAGAGGUGAAAUUCGUAGAUAUCGAGAGGAACACCGGUGGCGAAGGCGGCCUUCUGGACAGUGACUGACGCUGAGACGCGAAAGCGUGGGGAGCAAACAGGAUUAGAUACCCUGGUAGUCCACGCCGUAAACGAUGGGUGCUAGGUGUCAGGGGCUUUGACCCCUCUGGUGCCGUAGCUAACGCAUUAAGCACCCCGCCUGGGGAGUACGGCCGCAAGGCUA
rnacentral:rRNA from 1 species